rnacentral:hammerhead_ribozyme from 1 species
GCACUGCUGAGGAAUCCCACGACAGGACGAAACGACCGUCCAGUGC